rnacentral:tRNA from 1 species
GCCGGGGUAGCUCAGUCCCAUAUUGUAUGGGGAGGAACCUGGGAGAGCGUCCGGCUGAUUACCGGAUUGCCGAGGGUUCAAAUCCCUCCCCCGGCA